UAAGCCUACUGGUGCCAAAGGCCAAGGGCUAUACUGGCAGCAUAAUCGAGAUUGCUCAGAGGACAUAUGAGAAAGGAAGACUUGGCUCUCAGUUGAGAACAGCCUGGCAGUGGGCUACAUUCUCAGCAUACUCUGGGACCGGGCUGGGCAGCAGGCAUUUCAGAAUCUCCCAGGAAAACAAUAGCUCUCUGUGCUCCCUGCCAGACAAGCUGACCAGAAGAGCAUCUCUCAUUCCUGAAGGCUAGCUCAGAGCUUCCUGCCCUCCCCUCAUCUAACCCCCAUCCAACUGUGUGGGCAACGUUCAGAGUCCAAGUAGACGGUGUAGAUGGUUCACUAUAAGAGAGUCUGAGAGCCUGUGGGCAUCUGUAGCAGAAAUGGCUAGGACAUCGCAUGGAAUAGUCAUUGUAGUUCAGGUUCCAAGGGACUGUCCCCAGAGAGCCACAUGGCACAGGAAGUACCUCUGCCAUGCUUAGAUACCUGGGAGAAGAACCUC
rnacentral:lncRNA from 1 species